GACGAACGCUGGCGGCGUGCUUAAUACAUGCAAGUCGAACGGGCAUGCGCUGUUCUUUGUGGGGUGGGUUUGUGGGGGGCGGGUGGGUUACAAGUGGGUUACCCGCCCUCCACUUCUGGAUUAACGUCUGCAAGCCAGGGUAAUUAGGGGUGAAUAUGCUGUGCCGCAUGGUGCAGUUGUGAAAGAUUGAUUUUGUUUCGGUUAUGGAUGGGCUCGCGCCCGAGCAGCUUGUUGGUGAGGUGGUGGCGUACCAAGGCUACGACGAGUAGCCGGCCUGAGAGGGUGGGCGGUCACACUGGGACUGAGAGACGGCCCAGACUCCUGCGGGCGGCAGCAGUGGGGCGUAUUGCACAAUGGGCGGAAGCCUGAUGCAGCGACGCCGCGUGAGGGAUGGAGGCCUUCGGGUUGUAAACCUCUUUCGCGGGUGAAGAAGGGCCUACUCAUUUAUGGGCGUUUUGAGGUUGCCUGGUUAGGAAGCGCCGGCUAACUACGUG
rnacentral:rRNA from 1 species